AUAAAUAAUUAAUUAAAUAAUUUUUAUUAUUCGGUUAACUCGAAUAGAUUAUCGAGUUAACCGAUACCCGAAUUUCUUUUUAAAGUGAUAAUCGAAACUGAUUCAAUAAUCAAAAAUUUUGAUUAUUAAAUACCUGAACCUGAAAAUUUCAAUUCGAUUAAUGAAUUAUCCAAAACUCGAUAAUCAAUUAGACAGGCUAACGGCCCUAACCUGUAAUAAAGUGCUUCUUACUUUACAGAUAAGACUCAAAUCAUGUAUGGGACAAACAAAUUUAAGAACACACCAAAUUUUAACACUUAAUGGGCCCACACUUAUAAUUGCCGACCGGGUUGACUCAUUUGCAGAACCAACCCGCAACUUAUGAUUCUUGAUACUAUUGUGAUAACAAAUUAUUCAUUUGAAUUUUGACAAUAUCAUGUGCCCAUUUAAUUUUAUGGAAUUCGAUAAAUAUCAUUUGCCAACCCACCCCACUUGGAGCACCUUGUCACCUUUUAAAAAUAAAUAUUGUUUUUUUUUUUUUUUAACUCUUAUCUUGUAGGUACAACUAAUUAGAUUAAUCUACUACCUUUUGGAGGUGAUGGAUGAUAAUGCUGGUAUGAUAGCUCAAUCAAUGCAUUUAACUUGUUCUAUAUUUUAAGUUUAGUUUAGUUAUUAAUUUAUACAACAUCUUCAAUGUUGUAACAUGUCAUCAUCACGGAAGUAAUAGGUUAAACUUAUUAUUACUCCCCCCGCAUAUGAAAAUAAUGGCAAUUUGGUUUAGUAGCGAUUUUAGUAUAAUAUUUGGUGAAUUUUAUGUAAUUGAGAAAUCGUUUCAUCCAUUUGAUGGACGUUAAAAAUAAUAAAAAUGUUAAUUUUGAUGGACAAAAGAGUAUUAUUAUAAAAUUUUAAGUCGGAAAGGAGGUGUUGUGACUUGUAAGAAUUGAAUUUGGGAUUAUUUUUCACUUAGGACUCAUUUGCUUGACAAUAUCAGAUAAAGUAAAAAUAUUUGAGUGGAAUGUCUUAUAACUUAUAAGACAUCAAUAUUAUGUUGAUUACAUAUGUUAAAUUAUUGAAUUUAUAAAUAAAUUAUGUUAAGAUAAUAAAAAUUUGAAAGUUUAAUCUAUUAAUUAAUUAAUAAAUGAUAUAAUUAGGAUUUAUAUUAUGUAUUCCAUCUAAGAGAUAGUAUACAAAAUUAGAAGGAUUUGUAUAAUACAUAUUGGACUUGCUUUAUAAAGAGUCUAGUGUUCUUAAGCAAACAUAAUACUCCCCCGAGUCUCAUUAAUAACAUCUUAAAAAAUUAGAUCACAUAAGGGCAUUCACAUUGGAGAGUCAAGAUUAACUCUGAAAAGUGGUCCUCACCAUUUAAGAGUCAAUCCCCACAUUGGAGAACCAACACCUUGAUUCUUAAAAUUUAUAUUUUAUUUUAUCUUUAUUUUUAUUGUUUGUUUUCAAUUAAUUUUAACAAUAUAUUUAAUAACAUAAAUUUUAUUGAACUUAGAAUUUAACACUACGUUGAUUGAAAAUAAAAUUGCAUUACAACAAAAAUAAAGUCCUAAAUUACUUCAAAUUAAAAAAAAUAUAUAAAAAAACCUACAAUCUAUGGGAGAUCAUUGCGUUUCUUGAUUUGUGUGUGAAAGUGAAUAGAAAAAGGAAACAAUUUAUAGAAACAAAAUAAUAGAUAAAGAAAAGAAGAAAAAAAACCACAAAGAGCCGUUUGGAUUGGCUCUAUACCAGAUUUUGCCCGCAAAGCCGUUGCAAAAAUUCAAAUUUUAAUUAAUUAUUUAUUUUUUAUUAAUUUAUUUUAAUUAAAAGGCUGAAAUUUUUGUGAUUGGACCAUGUAUAUCACGCGCCCAAUCAAAAGGGGGAUUGCUCCAGGUGUGGAGGGAAGGUAUGGGUGCGGACAUUGGGGGUGCGACAUUGGGGGGGAGAGUGUGGGGCGCCAAGCUCGAGCCGGCGUCCGCGCCCCCAGUGUGGAUGGCCUAAGGAAUAAUUGUUUAUGGCAUAAAGUAGUGACAUCUCACUUGUUUAAUAUUGAGAGAGAAAACAAAAAUUGCUUUAAUCAAAAAGUGGGAGGAGUCCAUAUGUUCCUUUUAGUAUAAUUAGGAGCCUAAUUUAUUUUCUUAUGAAUUGAGACAUUAUUGAUGAGGCAGAUAAAGUAUAAGAUUGUCAGUGACUCGUAGGCAUACACUAAUCCUCUCUAACAAACAAGCUCUUAAAUAAUAGGGUUAAAUAGCAAAAACAACCUCAAGGUAGUCCCGUAUUUUUUUAAUUUCAUCCCUCACGAAUCGUAAGUGGCAUGGCAGACCUUAUUGUAUUUUUUAAAAAAUUCCGUCCAUGUUUGCGACGUUCGAUAAUCGUCCGUCCAGUAUUUAUUUAUAUAUAUUUUUAAUUUUUACUCGAAAAUGGGCCCCACUUACCGUUGAAACUCUUAAUAGCGGGAUAUGUCAUCCCCAAUCCUCAAUCUUGUAUACACGAACCCUAGUUUUUCACAUUCUUCAAUUUUCAAAGUAUUAGAUGAAGAAUUACACGAAAUUUGCACGAUUGAGCUUGGGGUUUCUCUCCCUUUAGUCAACACAUAAGAUGAGUUCCAAUAUGUCUUGCAAUUUGCGGGGCAGUUUGGCAAGUAGGAGUAGGAGCUCAAAGAUGGAUAUAAACUAUGAAGAACCAAGGUAUUGUUCAUGCGUAUUUGAAGGUAGGAGGUUGAAAGCCCCUAGAAUGACAUCUUGGACCGACGACAAUCCCGGUCGGAGGUUCUAUGGCUGUCAAAACUGGAAGACUAAGAAUUGCGGGUAUUUCGAAUGGCAUGAUGAAGCAUUGUGUUCAAGGUAGAGAUGUUAUCAUAGAAUUGAGGAAGGAGAACAAGAAGUUGGUGAAUGAGUUGAGCCAAGCAAAGAAAACUUUAACAUGUGAAUUGGAGGAUGAACUCGAAAAGCUAUGGAAUGUAAUCCAAAAACUGAAAGAAGAAAACAAGAAAGGAAGAAAAAAGAUUAGAGUGACAUAUGUUGUUGCAAUUAUAUCUUGGUUGAUCUUCCUGUAUUUAUUUUCUUUUUAGUGUUAGAUGGUCUUCUUGUAACCCACACUUUGAAUGCAAUAAAAGGAUUUGCUUUGAUCA